GUACACGCUGUGACUAGCAUAUCAAUAAGCGGAGGAAAAGAAACUAACAAGGAUUCCCCUAGUAACGGCGAGUGAAGCGGGAAGAGCUCAAAUUUGAAAUCCUAAAGGGUUUCCCUUUACGAAUUGUAGUUUAAAGAAGUGUUUUCUGUUGAGGUUUUGGUAAAAGUUCUUUGGAAUAGGACAACAUAGAGGGUGAGAAUCCCGUAUUUGACCUUUACUUUCAACUUUGUGAUACACUUUCAAAGAGUCGGAUUGUUUGGGAAUGCAGUCCAAAAUGGGUGGUAAAUUUCAUCUAAAGCUAAAUAUUGGCGAGAGACCGAUAGCGAACAAGUACCGUGAGGGAAAGAUGAAAAGAACUUUGAAAAGAGAGUUAAACAGUACGUGAAAUUGUCAAAAGGGAAGCGUUUGACACCAGUGUUGUUUUUCUGAAAAUCAAUUAAAGAACUGUUUAUGCUAAGUUGUUUAGACUUUAUCAGCUAUCUGCUUAGUUUUGAGCUUUUCUUUAAUGCACUUUUCAGUUAACAAGUCAACAUCAAUUUCUUUUGCUGUAAAAAAGCUUGAGGAAGGUGGCUUGAGAUUCGUCUUAAGUGUUUAUAGCCUCUUGCCUAUGCAGUCGGAGAGAUUGAGGUCUGCAGCGUAGAUCCUUCGGGGCUAAAUGCAUUUGUGCUAAGUUAUAGCAUUUUAUAGACAACUUGUUGACUAUGAUUUGUCUUGUAGCUUACUCGCUUAUGUUAUUUUACCUACGCUUAGGAUGUUGAUAUGCAUGACUGAUAU
rnacentral:rRNA from 1 species